CAAGAAUGUUGUGAUGUGCUACUGCAGACAAGACUCGUGAGCCAAGGAAGUUGAAUGGGGAAGAGCUGCUAGGAGUAAAAAUUCAGGAAUUACAGAAGCUAGAGAAACUAAUAAGGAAAGGUUUGGCUCGGGUUUCAAAAGCAAAGGUUUGUUCUGUACCUUUCUGUUCUCUUUAAUUAGUCAUUAUGUAUUUGCAAAUUUAAUAUUAUUGGAGUAUAAGUAAGAGGAAGAAGUUUCAUGUUGAUUAUGGGAACCAACGAAUUGAAUAAUAUAUUAUUGACAAAGACUUGUACACCUUGAGACAAAUUUUGAUAUGAGAAUGAACACAUUAACAUA